GUCUUUUAUUUUCGUGUAUAUUGGGGCCGAAGCAUGUCCAUAUGUAUACAACCAUAUAUUAAUCAGUCAUAUAUGCGGUGCUACUACAUCUAUUGAAUCGGUUAUAACUCAUAGAAUAUAACGUGCAGGCUUUGAAUAAUUACAUACACGUAUUAAACAACAUACCUUCGAGCUUUUGGCUAGCUCGGGAAGAGAAUUCCUAGUGAUUUUGUCACGUAAAAGUUGAUUCACCAAAGUAAAACAUUCGGGCAAAUUUCAGCAAGACGGAAGGAGGAGGACACCAUUGCGCAUGUCUUCA